ACGAACGCUGGCGGCGUGCUUAACACAUGCAAGUCGAACGGAAAGGCCCUGCUUUUGUGGGGUGCUCGAGUGGCGAACGGGGGAGUAACACGUGAGUAACCUGCCCUUUACUUUGGGAUAACUUCAGGAAACUGGGGCUAAUACCGGAUAGGAGCUCCUGCUGCAUGGUGGGGGUUGGAAAGUUUCGGCGGUUGGGGAUGGACUGGCGGCUUAUCAGCUUGUUGGUGGGGUAGUGGCUUACCAAGGCUUUGACGGGUAGCCGGCCUGAGAGGGUAGACAGCCACCAUGGGACUGAGAUACGGACCAGACUCCUACGGGAGGCAGCAGUGGGGAAUAUUGCACAAUGGGCGGAAGCCUGAUGCAGCAACGCCGCGUGCGGGAUGACGGCCUUCGGGUUGUAAACCGCUUUCGCCUGUGACGAAGCGUGAGUGACGGUAAUGGGUAAAGAAGCACCGGCUAACUACGUG
rnacentral:rRNA from 1 species